UGGUUAAAAAUGUCCAGCAGAAUAAGAGCUAGAAUUCUACUGCACAACGUUGUCAAAUUUCCUAUGAAUAUUUAUGUAUCCUAGUUUGUUAAAGCAGUCAUUAUAUGGAUAUUGGGAUAAAUUUGAUGUAAGCCUAGUUAAUAAACUAUGCUGCCUGUCCAAUGAGUUCUUGUUCGGCAUCACCAUCUACUCAAACACUUGAUGCAUUGCUGUAAUUUUGGGCUUUGUUCAACUCAUCAACCAUCAGCUCUUUGCUGAAAGCGAUUGUAGGUGGCCCCAUCACCAAGCCUAUAACGAUUGCCAGACGCGAAUUGGAGGCUGAGUUUAGGAUGAGCCCAAGUCAGCAUGAGUGGCCUCAGAGAUCAAGCCCUGGAGGGCCUGAUCAGCACCAUCAUCGCAGCCGCCUCUCAUCUUCAAAACAAAGAAACCAGAUUGAUUAAUGAGGCUUACAACGAUCGUGCUUUGCGAGUUGUACUUUGCCCAGAUUCUCAGCAGAGAUUGGUGAAUAAUGUAGAUUUUACUGGUUCAAUCAUAGAUGUUGAUGAUUCUCUCCACAUGAUCUUGGAACAUACUUUUCGAAUAUCUGUUAUCUGUUGUAUGUGUUUUUUACUUCAAGAACAAGAAUGUGUUGCAGAAAUCUCAACUAA